rnacentral:rRNA from 1 species
CAGCAGCCGCGGUAAUACGAAGGGUGCAAGCGUUAAUCGGAAUUACUGGGCGUAAAGCGUGCGUAGGCGGUUUGUUAAGUCUGCUGUGAAAUCCCCGGGCUCAACCUGGGAAUGGCAGUGGAUACUGGCAAGCUAGAGUGUGUCAGAGGAUGGUGGAAUUCCCGGUGUAGCGGUGAAAUGCGUAGAUAUCGGAAGGAACACCUGUGGCGAAAGCGGCUCACUGGACCAUUUCUGACGCUGAUGCACGAAAGCUAGGGGAGCAAACAGGAUUAGAGACCCGUGUAGUCCCUGUCUCUUAUAC